rnacentral:rRNA from 1 species
AGGGUUCGAUUAUGGCUCAGGACGAACGCUGGCGGCGCGCCUAACACAUGCAAGUCGAACGAGCGAGAGAGAGAGUUUACUUUUUCGAGCGAGUGGCGAACGGGUGAGUAACGCGUGAGGAACCUGCCUCAAAGAGGGGGACAACAGUUGGAAACGACUGCUAAUACCGCAUAAGCCCACGGCUCGGCAUCGAGCAGAGGGAAAAGGAGCAAUCCGCUUUGAGAUGGCCUCGCGUCCGAUUAGCUAGUUGGUGAGGUAACGGCCCACCAAGGCGACGAUCGGUAGCCGGACUGAGAGGUUGAACGGCCACAUUGGGACUGAGACACGGCCCAG